rnacentral:rRNA from 1 species
GACGAACGCUGGCGGCGUGCCUAAUACAUGCAAGUAGAACGCUGAAGGAGGAGCUUGCUUCUCUGGAUGAGUUGCGAACGGGUGAGUAACGCGUAGGUAACCUGCCUGGUAGCGGGGGAUAACUAUUGGAAACGAUAGCUAAUACCGCAUAAUAGCAGUUGUUGCAUGACAACUGUUUGAAAGGUGCAAUUGCAUCACUACCAGAUGGACCUGCGUUGUAUUAGCUAGUUGGUGGGGUAACGGCUCACCAAGGCGACGAUACAUAGCCGACCUGAGAGGGGGAUCGGCCACACUGGGACUGGGACACGGCCCAGACUCCUACGGGAGGCAGCAGUAGGGAAUCUUCGGCAAUGGACGGAAGUCUGACCGAGCAACGCCGCGUGAGUGAAGAAGGUUUUCGGAUCGUAAAGCUCUGUUGUAAGAGAAGAACGAGUGUGAGAGUGGAAAGUUCACACUGUGACGGUAUCUUACCAGAAAGGGACGGCUAACUACGUG